UUGCUGCCCUGGUCUGUUGCGAGCAUGUCAAGGAGAUUUCUCACUUCCUCACAGGACGUGUGGGAUCAUCUCCCAGAUGAACUACCAGUUCCUAAGUAUUUGUCUGAAGCACUGGCUAGAACUUCCAUCCCUGUGGUGAAUAAGAGUGAUGAAAGUGGACACCAUCGUAUUAUUGAAUUGAAGGGAUUCAAACCUCUUCUGUGAUAAUCAUAGAACUGUAGCAUCAGAAGGCAAUUCCCUAAGUGUGGUCUGCCCACAUCCCUGGUGGUAAGCCAAAUGAUCGUAAGUGGUAGAGCGGCAAUUACUUUUAAAAAAUUUGACAGUCAUAUAUCUAUUUCAAUGUAUAGCAAAUAUAGAAUUGGAACAUCAAAGUCUGUGUACAAAUUUCGCUUCUUAUAAGGACACCAGUGAUACUGAAUUUGGGUCCAUCCUAAUGACCUCAUUGUACUGUAAUUAUCUUUUUGAAGAUUCUGUCUCCAAAUACAGACACAUUCUGAGGCACCAGAGGUUACGACUUCCAACAUACGAACUUUGGAUGAAAACGAUUCAGCCCGAAGCACCUGGUCUCCAUCCCCAUCCCUAGGAAUCCUUUUCUCUGUUUCCUAGUAACUCUGUGCCUCAGUGUCUUCAUCUGUGAAAUGGCAUCGAUAGAAAUAUUUUAAGGAAUACAUGAGUUGAGCUCACGAAGCAGUACCUGACACAGAGUAAACGUUCAGUAGGUAUUAGCUAUUAUGGUGGCAAUCAUUUCAACUUUCUGACAAGUGCCCUUGAAAUUUCCUUUUCGUCUCCC
rnacentral:lncRNA from 1 species